CUCUUCCUCUGCUCUUCUUUACGCAAAUCUCUCUAAACUCACUCAAAACUUUAUGUUUGUCCCCUCACUUUCGAACCGAGAAUGAUAUUAGGGAGAAGAUCAACGGCAGUCAUUUAUCGUUAAGAAGAGACACACAACUGAUUUUAAAAAGCAAAAAGAAAGCGCAGAGCAGCAGUUCUAGCUCUCGUCACUCGCGUGUAAAGCGAAAGAAGCCCGCUGCUGAAACAGAAGCUGUUUCGGUGGAUCCAGAAGCCCAGCGCGGGUUCCGCUGCUCCAGAUCCGCUCGUGUCGGACUCUCCGCCGGGACUGGAGCGGGACAGAAGUGGUGCGCACAGAGCUCGAUUCUCAAGAGUGAAGGCUGAGGAAAGUCAAAUGACAGACUUCUCCUUUGGACCAAUAGAAGCCCCUAAAUCCCAAGGCAGUCAUUUUGAUCAAGCCGAGUGCCUACAAGCCCCACUCACAUGUUUGGUCAAGAGGUGAACGCUCAGCAGAUGACAGUCCUCCUACCUCGGAUUGCAGGCGGAGAAGCGGGGCUUUCCCAAUCCUCUGUGGCGAAAUACUUCCCGUGCUCUGCCUACUCAGCCCACCGAGGGAUUGUUGAUGCUUCCUGAUUUCAUGUGCUGCACGGUGUGAACACAUCUCUGUUUCUCAGUGACAUGGAGAAGGAGGAACAGAUGAGUUAAAUGGAAUCAUUUUAUGUUACAUCACAUCAGAAAUACUGGGCUAACAGCAAAGAUAACAGACCAUAUCAGCACUAUGAAAUAGUGUUCUAGCAUACAAUACAAUUCCUGCUAUUAGGGCAUUACAACAAGUAAAAAUAAAAAAUACUGAGAUUUCAUAACAUUAUAAAGUCUUC